rnacentral:rRNA from 1 species
ACGCACGCUGGCGGCGUGCUUAACACAUGCAAGUCGCACGGAAAGGCCCUGCUUUUGUGGGGUGCUCGAGUGGCGAACGGGUGAGUAACACGUGAGUAACCUGCCCUUGACCUUGGGAUAACUUCAGGAAACUGGGGCUAAUACCGGAUAGGAGCUCCUGCUGCAUGGUGGGGGUUGGAAAGUUUCGGCGGUUGGGGAUGGACUCGCGGCUUAUCAGCUUGUUGGUGGGGUAGUGGCUUACCAAGGCUUUGACGGGUAGCCGGCCUGAGAGGGUGACCGGCCACAUUGGGACUGAGAUACGGCCCAGACUCCUACGGGAGGCAGCAGUGGGGAAUAUUGCACAAUGGGCGGAAGCCUGAUGCAGCAACGCCGCGUGCGGGAUGACGGCCUUCGGGUUGUAAACCGCUUUCGCCUGUGACGAAGCGUGAGUGACGGUAAUGGGUAAAGAAGCACCGGCUAACUACGUG